CUGGCGGAUGCUUUACACAUGCAAGUCGAACGGCAGCACGGACUUCGGUCUGGAGGUUAUGGGCGAACGGGUGAGUAAUGUAUCGGAACGCCUAGUAGCGGGGAUAACUACUGCGAAAGCGUGGUAGCUAAUACCGCAUACGCCCUCGGGGGGAAAGCGGGGACUUUCGGCCUUCGCACUAUUAGAGCGGCCGAGUAUCGGAUUAGCUAGUUGGUGGGGUAACGGUCACCGGCUGGCGUAAUGAUCCGUAGCUGGUUUGAGGAGGACGAUCAGCCACACUGGGACUGGGACACGGCCCAGACUCCUACGGGAGGCAGCAGUGGGGAAUUUUGGACAAUGGGGAAACCCCGAUCCAGCGCCUCAUCCCCGGCGUGUGCGAUGAAGGCCUCGGGUUGUAAAGCACUUUUUGGCAGGAGUAAAGAAACGGCACGGGAUAAUACCCCGUGCAACUGACGGUACCUGCAGAAUAAGCACCGGCUAACUACGUGCCAGCAGCCGCGGUGGACACGGUGGGUAAAGCGGAAAGACCUGAAUUACUGCGCAGCGUGCGCAGGCGGUUCGGAAAGAAAGAUGUGAAUCCAGAGCUUAACUUUGAACCAUUUUUAACUACCGAGCUAGAGUGUGUCAGAGGAGGUGGAAUUCCGCGUGUGGGCAGUGAAAUGUAGAUAUGCGGAGGAACACCGAUGCGAAGGGCAGCCUCCUGGGAUAAUGGUACUGACGCUCAUGCACGAAAGCGUGGGGAGCAAACAGGAUUAGAUACCCUGGUAGUCCACGCCCAAACGAUGUCAACUAGCUGUUGGGGCUUCGGCUCGGUAGCGCAGCUAACGCGUGAAGUUGACCGCCUGGGGAGUACGGUCGCAAGAUUAAAAACUCAAAGGAAUUGAUUUGGGACCUGCACAAGCGGUGGAUGAUGUGGAUUAAUCUGAUGCAACGCGAAAAACCUUACCUACCCUCGACAUGUCUGGAAUCCCGAAGAGAUUUGGGAGUGCUCGCAAGAGAACCGGAACACAGGUGCUGCAUGGCUGUCGUCAGCUCUCGUGUCGUGAGAUGUUGGGUUAAGUCCCAACGAGCGCAACCCUUGUCAUUAGCUGCUACGAAAGGGCACCUAACGAGACUGCCGGUGACAAACCGGAGGAAGGUGGGGAUGACGUCAAGUCCUCAUGGCCCUUAUGGGUAGGGGCUUCACACGUCAUACAAUGGUCGGGACAGGGUCGCCAACCCGCGAGGGGGAGCCAAUCCCAGAAACCCGAUCGUAGUCCGGAUCGCAGUCUGCAACUCGACUGGGUGAAGUCGGAAUCGCUAGUAAUCGCGGAUCAGCAUGUCGCGGUGAAUACGUUCCCGGGUCUUGUACACACCGCCCGUCACACCAUGGGAGUGGGUUUUACCAGAAGUAGUUAGCCUAACCGUAAGGAGGGCGAUUACCAGCGGUAGAUUCAUGACUGGGGUAAGUCGUAACAAGGUAG
rnacentral:rRNA from 1 species